rnacentral:rRNA from 1 species
GGACAACAGUUGGAAACGACUGCUAAUACCGCAUAAGCCCACGACCCGGCAUCGGGAAGAGGGAAAAGGAGCAAUCCGCUUUGAGAUGGCCUCGCGUCCGAUUAGCUAGUUGGUGAGGUAACGGCCCACCAAGGCGACGAUCGGUAGCCGGACUGAGAGGUUGAACGGCCACAUUGGGACUGAGACACGGCCCAGACUCCUACGGGAGGCAGCAGUGGGGAAUAUUGCACAAUGGGGGAAACCCUGAUGCAGCGACGCCGCGUGGAGGAAGAAGGUCUUCGGAUUGUAAACUCCUGUUGUUGAGGAAGAUAAUGACGGUACUCAACAAGGAAGUGACGGCUAACUACGUGCCAGCAGCCGCGGUAAAACGUAGGUCACGAGCGUUGUCCGGAAUUACUGGGUGUAAAGGGAGCGCAGGCGGGCGAUCAAGUUGGAAGUGAAAUCCAUGGGCUCAACCCAUGAACUGCUUUCAAAACUGGUCGUCUUGAGUAGUGCAGAGGUAGGCGGAAUUCCCGGUGUAGCGGUGGAAUGCGUAGAUAUCGGGAGGAACACCAGUGGCGAAGGCGGCCUACUGGGCACCAACUGACGCUGAGGCUCGAAAGUGUGGGUAGCAAACAGGAUUAGAUACCCUGGUAGUCCACACCGUAAACGAUGAUUACUAGGUGUUGGGAGAUUGACCCUCUCAGUGCCGCAG